CAGAACGAACGCUGGCGGCAGGCCUAACACAUGCAAGUCGAGCGCCCCUUCGGGGGAGCGGCGGACGGGUGAGUAACGCGUGGGAACGUACCCUUUGCUACGGAAUAGCCUCGGGAAACUGGGAGUAAUACCGUAUGUGCCCUUCGGGGGAAAGAUUUAUCGGCAAAGGAUCGGCCCGCGUUGGAUUAGGUAGUUGGUGGGGUAAUGGCCUACCAAGCCGACGAUCCAUAGCUGGUUUGAGAGGAUGAUCAGCCACACUGGGACUGAGACACGGCCCAGACUCCUACGGGAGGCAGCAGUGGGGAAUCUUAGACAAUGGGCGCAAGCCUGAUCUAGCCAUGCCGCGUGAGCGAUGAAGGCCUUAGGGUUGUAAAGCUCUUUCAGGGGGGAAGAUAAUGACUGUACCCCCAGAAGAAGCCCCGGCUAACUCCGUG
rnacentral:rRNA from 1 species